rnacentral:rRNA from 1 species
UGAGUGGCGGACGGGUGAGUAACGCGUGGGUAACCUGCCUUAUACAGGGGGGUAACAGUUAGAAAUGACUGCUAAUACCGCAUAAGCGCACAGUACCGCAUGGUACAGUGUGAAAAACUCCGGUGGUAUAAGAUGGACCCGCGUCUGAUUAGCCAGUUGGCGGGGUAACGGCCCGCCAAAGCGACGAUCAGUAGCCGACCUGAGAGGGUGACCGGCCACAUUGGGACUGAGACACGGCCCAAACUCCUACGGAAGGCAGCAG